rnacentral:rRNA from 1 species
UGGGGAAUCUUGCACAAUGGGCGAAAGCCUGAUGCAGCGACGCCGCGUGCGGGAUGAAGGCCUUCGGGUUGUAAACCGCUUUCAGCAGGGACGAGGCGAAAGUGACGGUACCUGCAGAAGAAGCCCCGGCUAACUACGUGCCAGCAGCCGCGGUAAUACGUAGGGGGCAAGCGUUAUCCGGAUUCAUUGGGCGUAAAGCGCUCGUAGGCGGUCUGUUAGGUCGGGAGUUAAAUCCGGGGGCUCAACCCCCGUUCGCUCCCGAUACCGGCAGACUUGAGUUUGGUAGGGGAAGGUGGAAUUCCUAGUGUAGCGGUGGAAUGCGCAGAUAUUAGGAAGAACACCAGUGGCGAAGGCGGCCUUCUGGGCCAUAACUGACGCUGAGGAGCGAAAGCUAGGGGAGCAAACAGGAUUAGAUACCCUGGUAGUCCACGCAGUAAACGAUGAUAACUGGGCGUAUGCGAUAUACAGUAUGCUCCUAAGCGAAAGCGUUAAGUUAUCCACCUGGGGAGUACGCCGGCAACGGUG